rnacentral:misc_RNA from 1 species
AACGCAUCUUGCGCCCUUUGGUUACUCCGAAGGGCAUGCCUGUUUGAGAGUCAUUAUUAUUCUCAACUUCAGAGUUUGCUUGUCAGAUUUUGAAGCUUGGAUAUGGGGGAUUUUACAUGCUGGCGACUUGUAUGCUGGCUCCCCUUAAAUGAAUUAGCAGAACCUAAAGUUCUUUGGCUCUGGUUUGAUAAAUGAUAUCUAUGCCAUUGCUGAGGGGGGAACUGGUUUUCGGCUUCUAAAGUCUUUUUGAAACUUGACCUCAAAUCAGGUAGGACUACCCGCUGAACUUAA